rnacentral:sRNA from 2 species
GGUGGGAUCCAGGACGAUCGUCCUGUCAACGCCCAAUUCCCCCAGCUGCAUAUCCAGCUCCCUCAGCGCGCCUUUCGAAUCAUCCCAACUUCCACUCUCAUAGACGGAAACGUAUAUGUUCUCUUUCCCGAACUUCCUCGCUAACUCGACAACGGCGGCAUUCCAAUGGCUGCGCAGGAUGGCCUCAUUGUUCCAGUGCGUGCUGGCCACAUAGACGGACCUUAUCCCUGGAACGAGUGCUGUAUUUGCAGACACUCGCGACGAGGAUGAGCGGGAAGAUAGCGCCAAUGACGACGUGGAGAAGGUGAGGUAAUCGACGACGGCGAAGAAGAGGACGCAGGAGAUGAACAGGACGCUCAGAUGUCCAUGCAAGCCGCGGUGGGCGAAGA